AACAACUAUCAUCCUAUAUACCUACCAGCAUUAUCAUCACAACAACAAGAACAGAAUAAACAAAAUAAAUAAAAAAAAAAUAACUUUCGACGACCAAGAAUUAUACAAGACUGUGUCUGAGAAUUGAGACUCACCAAAAAAACCAAAAACAAAAAGUUUUAUACCUACAACUUUCGUAUUGUGUUGGGAAGACAUUGAAUUUGCAUAUUUUAUUCAUUGGAUGAAUUCUAAUCGACAAAUCCUGUUACAAAAUGAUAAUAAUAAUUGUCACUUGCAAUGCUUAUAGCCUGAGAGAAGUGCCAGCGACACCUAUAAACGAUUACAAUGUGUAUACAAAAUCAAAUUAACCAUACGAUAUUUAAAUUUUCUCAUCCUCUUGGGGUUGGGGUUGGUUUAGUGGGUGGUUUUCUCUUCGAAGUUGGUAUACAGUGGGUUGACAUGAGUUAAAAACUGAAUUGAAAUCAAACCAUUGAAAGACAUUGGAUCAGAGGUGGGGAUACUUAUUUAUCAGGGGCGUCACAUACAUAAUAUUGGGAACUAUAAGAAAACUUAACAGAAUUAAUUCAAGAAUAAUUUAACCCUGUGUCAAUUUAUUAAAUCUUCAUACAAUUUCUAAAUGAUUAAAAAAUUAUAGAAGAAAGAUUAAUGUUCUACAAAUUAACUUGUCAACAAGUCCAGCCAGACAAAAAAA